UACGGAGGGUGCGAGCGUUAUUCGGAAUCACUGGGCGUAAAGGGCGCGUAGGCGGCCUGGUAAGUCAGGGGUGAAAUCCCACGGCUCAACCGUGGAAUUGCCUUUGAAACUGCUGGGCUUGGAUCCUGGAGAGGGUGGCGGAAUUCCUGGUGUAGCGGUGAAAUGCGUAGAUAUCGGGAGGAACACCAGUAGCGAAGGCGGCCAUCUGGCUGAUAACUGACGCUGAGGUGCGAGAGCGUGGGGAGCAAACAGG
rnacentral:rRNA from 1 species